rnacentral:rRNA from 1 species
UGGGGAAUUUUGGACAAUGGGGGCAACCCUGAUCCAGCAAUGCCGCGUGUGUGAAGAAGGCCUUCGGGUUGUAAAGCACUUUUGUCCGGAAAGAAAUGGCUCUGGUUAAUACCCGGAGUCGAUGACGGUACCGGAAGAAUAAGCACCGGCUAACUACGUGCCAGCAGCCGCGGUAAUACGUAGGGUGCGAGCGUUAAUCGGAAUUACUGGGCGUAAAGCGUGCGCAGGCGGUUUUGUAAGACAGGCGUGAAAUCCCCGGGCUCAACCUGGGAAUUGCGCUUGUGACUGCAAGGCUAGAGUACGUCAGAGGGGGGUAGAAUUCCACGUGUAGCAGUGAAAUGCGUAGAGAUGUGGAGGAAUACCGAUGGCGAAGGCAGCCCCCUGGGACGUGACUGACGCUCAUGCACGAAAGCGUGGGGAGCAAACAGGAUUAGAUACCCUGGUAGUCCACGCCCUAAACGAUGUCAACUAGUUGUUGGGGAUUCAUUUCCUCAGUAACGUAGCUAACGCGUGAAGUUGACCGCCUGGGGAGUACGGUCGCAAGAUUA